UCCUCCUCUUCCUUCAUCAUGGACUACAUAACACAGUUUCACUUAGCCUCCAUGCUUACAUCCAUACUCUUUAUAUAUAAUUUCUUUCAUUUUUAAGAUCAAAAUAACACUAAUAAUGACUUGCUCUUACAUUGUGCUUCUCAUCAGAAGAUUUCAAAGUGCUUUACAAAGGAGGGAUAACUGUACUGUCUCCAUAACUUCCGCGCCCUCUGAGCAUGAAAAGGGAAAGAGACAGACCAGAAUUCAAACCAAGGACUUCUGUACAGCAGUGCACAGCCUGCCCAAUGAAACCCAUCAAUAAUUAGCAUGAAGGAUAAAGUCAAGUCCUGAUGAAGUCGAAUAAUAUGACUGACAACUGAGGUUUUAUUCAACAUGUUGCCUCGGAAAAUUGAAUUACUGAGAACAGAACCAUGCUGGAAUCAUCCCUUUCAAUUAACUUAUGUUCUCAAAAAUGUGAUUCAUCAGGCUGCAUCUUUACAUACAGAGGAAAAUGCCAUUAAAUUAAUUAUCUGUUUUACUGAAAAGUAAUAAAAUUAACUUAGGGAUUGUUUAGCAACACUAAUUUUUUAACUUCAUAAUCACAGAAGAAGGGUGCAGUGUUUUAGUCAUGUUAGGAGUAGGUGAUAUAUCACACUGUCUUCCUUUAAUCACUCUUUAUAAAAGCACCAUGGAGAGAUAUUUCAUCACCACUUUCUCUCAAUAUUGCAGUUCGUCCUUGAAUGUGUAGCUGCACAUAUGGCACAUACCCACAGGCAAAGUGGGAUGCUAAAAUGUGCUCUGAAUGCACCAUACUUUGGCCCUUUCAAAUUAACUGAAAAUCACCACCACCUGGAUGUUCCCAGUUUCUGCCAGCACAGGCACCAGGGUUCCUGAGGCCUUUUCUACACUACCGGGGUAAGUCGACCUAAGUUACGCUACUCCAGCUACGUGAAUAACAUAGUUGGCGUCGACAUAGCUUAGGUCGAUUUACAGUGGUGUCUACUCUGUGCUGCAUCGACGGGAGAUGCUCUCCUGUUGACUUACCUUACUCCUCUCGUUCCAGUGGAGUACCGGAGUCGACAGGAGAGCACUCUUGGUCAAUUUAGGGGGUCUUCACUGGACCUGCUAAACUGACCGCUGCUGUUGAUCACCGGUAAGUGUAGUCAUGGCCUGAGAUUGCCUUUGACCUUGGAACUCUUAUUUGGUAAGCUUAUCACCAUCCCAGCUGAGCCAUCAAACAUGAUGAUAUCAAAGUAUUUCUAUAGCUAGAAGGGAAAACACAUUUUGCUUAGUAAAUUAAGAAUAAUAUUUCACAUAUGUUGUAAGAUCAACUGACACUCACUGACCUGACACCAUGCACUCAUAUUUUAAAUUUUUCCUUUGCUGACUGUAAAUAUUUGCUUUAGGGUGCACUAUCAACCAGCAGGGGAUUAAUUAAAUCUGUUUCUACACAUAAACCAUUUGCAUUACAGAAAUGAUGAUGAGGAUUAGAAUCUCCAGUUCUGAUGGAAAAUACAACCUGCCCAUGCAAGGACAUCAACUAUAAUCCAUCCAUCAGACUGAAAAAGGAAGGAAUUUUUCAUGGUUUUAAAAAAACUAUGCUUUUCUUUGCCUACAAGUAUCUGUCAAGAAAAUCUGCUAUUUCUUAGUACAGGAAUGUUUAUAAAUGGAUAUUAAAAACAAUAUAUUUCAAUUUCCUUCUCUCCAAAAAAUAAAAUAUUUGAAUUUGGUUGCCAAACUGCACUGCAAAGAGAUUAAACAUCAAUACUAACAAUGUGAGCAUUUUGACAACAUAUCUAUAAAAUGAA